GCGAAGUCACUGACAACAUGAAAGGAGUUUACUGUAGGAAAUUGUGGUGAUUAUUGUCAUGUUUAUAACCCUUUUACGUCUCAAUUUCUCUGCUUUGUCGCUCCCCUGAAGGGGAAACGUGCCGAAAUUGGCCGAAUCACGAGUAAACACGCGAAAGUUUCCCAAGAAGCCGCGGAGGAAACUUUCGACAACACCAAUAACCCGAAACCACAUCUUACCGAAGUUGAUAAAACUACUUCAGUAAUGAAUGGGCCUGUUUCAGAAGACCAAGACGAUAUGGACUCGAAGGAAGAACCGAUGGAUACAUCUAUAACAGAUCCAAAUGGGAGGGAUUCCUCGAAAUCAGAGAUGGAAUUGGAGGAGGAUUCUGCCUGACCGGAAGGUGUUGUUCAUUUCGAUCCUACAGAGUCGAGGAAGUACCUGUUGAACAUCUUAAUUUAAGGAACGAUGAAGCUCUAAUUCCUGUCGCCCAUUUCCAAAAGAUAUAUGAGACAAAAUAUAUGAAUGAACAAAAUGUUGUCAUGCGCCGGAGCUGAUAGGCUCCAGACUGGUAUGCGAGGUGCUUUUGGCAAGCCUCUGGGAACUGUUGCUCGUGUCAACAUUGGUCAAACUAUUUUGUCAAUUAGAACAAAGCCCCAACACAAAGCAGCAUGUAUUGAAGCAUUCAGACGGUCCCUGGUCGUCAAAAAAUAUUUGUGUCAAAGAAAUGGGGUUUCACAAAAUUUGAUAAAGAAGAGUACGAGAAAGGUCGUUCGGAUGGUUCAAUCAAUCAUUCCUGCUGGUGUUCAUGCUCAGUAUCAUCCGAGCCAUGGCCCUCUGGCUGCCUGGAAAAAAAGAGUCGCUGAAAACGACAUACGUAACUCACAUUAGCAAACCCGUUUAAGAAAUAUCAGGAAAAUCAUAUAAAUGUAAUAUAAAGGAAUGUGGGGGAGGAUAUUUAUGUAAAAUAAUACAUUUAAUGUAUCGUGUCGACUGUUUUGUUAUUAUU
rnacentral:lncRNA from 1 species